rnacentral:rRNA from 1 species
UACGGAGGAUGCGAGCGUUAUCCGGAUUUAUUGGGUUUAAAGGGUGCGUAGGCGGGAUGCCAAGUCAGCGGUAAAAAUGCGGUGCUCAACGCCGUCGAGCCGUUGAAACUGGCGUUCUUGAGUGGGCGAGAAGUAUGCGGAAUGCGUGGUGUAGCGGUGAAAUGCAUAGAUAUCACGCAGAACUCCGAUUGCGAAGGCAGCAUACCGGCGCCCUACUAACGCUGAGGCACGAAAGCGUGGGUAUCGAACAGG